rnacentral:rRNA from 1 species
CAGCAGCCGCGGGAAUACGUAGGGUGCAAGCGUUAAUCGGAAUUACUGGGCGUAAAGCGUGCGCAGGCGGUUUUGUAAGACAGAGGUGAAAUCCCCGGGCUCAACCUGGGAACUGCCUUUGUGACUGCAAGGCUAGAGUACGGCAGAGGGGGAUGGAAUUCCGCGUGUAGCAGUGAAAUGCGUAGAUAUGCGGAGGAACACCGAUGGCGAAGGCAAUCCCCUGGGUCUGUACUGACGCUCAUGCACGAAAGCGUGGGGAGCAAACAGGAUUAGAUACCCGCGUAGUCCCUGUCUCUUAUAC